AUGGUAAUAUAUAAUCCAUCACGUUACUUGGCGAGUGGACGAAGAACACACAAUGUCACAUCCCUUCUUCUAACCCCUUCUUCUUCUUCUUUUUCUGUAACCCUUUUCACAAACCCUACAAAACCACAACGAAGAAUCACCAUAGCCGCUCUCACACACUUUCUCUUCUUCACUAUUCGUGUCGGAGAUUUCGUUACCGUCGCAGGUUUCGAGAAAUUAGAUCUGGUUUUUCUCAGAAGCUACGUGGGUUAG